GUCUACGGCCAUACCACUCUGAACGUGCCCGAUCUGGUCUGAUCUCGGAAGCUAAGCAGGGUCGGGCCUGGUUAGUACUUGGAUGGGAAAAUAUUUCAGUGGACGUGUUCC
rnacentral:rRNA from 1 species